ACACGGGUCAUUGUCUAGUACGGCGAGUGAGCGGCAACAGCUCAAAUUUGAAAGCUAGCCUUCGGGUUCGCAUUGUAAUUUGUAGAGGAUGAUUUGGGGAAGCCGCCUGUCUAAGUUCCUUGGAACAGGACGUCAUAGAGGGUGAGAAUCCCGUAUGUGACAGGAAAUGGCACCCUAUGUAAAUCUCCUUCGACGAGUCGAGUUGUUUGGGAAUGCAGCUCUAAAUGGGAGGUAAAUUUCUUCUAAAGCUAAAUAUUGGCGAGAGACCGAUAGCGCACAAGUAGAGUGAUCGAAAGAUGAAAAGCACUUUGGAAAGAGAGUUAAAAAGCACGUGAAAUUGUUGAAAGGGAAGCGCUUGCAAUCAGACUUGUUUAAACUGUUCGGCCGGUCUUCUGACCGGUUUACUCAGUUUGGACAGGCCAGCAUCAGUUUCGGCGGCCGGAUAAAGGCUCUGGGAAUGUGGCCUCCACUUCGGUGGAGGUGUUAUAGCCCAGGGUGUAAUACGGCCAGCCGGGACUGAGGUCCGCGCUUCGGCUAGGAUGCUGGCGUAAUGGUUGUAAGCGACCCGUCUUGAAA
rnacentral:rRNA from 1 species